rnacentral:rRNA from 1 species
GUCUACAGCCGUGCCACCCUCAACGUGCCCAAUCUCGUCUGAACUCGGAAGCUAAGCAGGGUCGGGCCUGGUUAGUACUUGCAUGGGAGACCACCUAGGAAUACCAGGUGCUGUAGGCG